UUCUCUCUGCACGAGAGAUACAGCAACCCCAGAUGAUCGUUUCAGCCUUGUUAGGCAUCGUCAGUGAGGCAUAGCUGGGGUUGCUGUAUCUCUCGUGCAUAGAGAA